AUUGAACGCUGGCGGCAGGCCUAACACAUGCAAGUCGUACGAGCGGCGGACGGGUGAGUAAUGUCUGGGCAACUGCCUGAUGGAGGGGGAUAACUACUGGAAACGGUAGCUAAUACCGCAUACCAUCGGAUGUGCCCAGAUGGGAUUAGGUUGUAGGUGAGGUAACGGCUCACCUAGGCGACGAUCCCUAGAUGGUCUGAGAGGAUGACCAGCCGCACUGGACCUGAGACACGGUCCAGACUCCGACGGGAGGCAGCAGUGGGGAAUAUUGCACAAUGGGCGCAAGCCUGAUGCAGCCAUGCGGCGUGUAUGAAGACGGCCUUCGGGUUGUAAAGUACUUUCAGUGGGGAGGCGUUACCGUCAGAAGAAGCAACGGCGAACUCCGUGCCAGCAGCCGCGGUAAUUC
rnacentral:rRNA from 1 species